CAACAGCUAGAGUUUGAUCCUGGCUCAGGAUGAACGCUGGCGGCGUGCCUAACACAUGCAAGUCGAACGGAGUUGUUUAGGAAGUUUCCUUCGGGGAACGGAUUUCUCAACUUAGUGGCGGACGGGUGAGUAACGCGUGAGCAAUCUGCCUUUAGGAGGGGGAUAACAGUCGGAAACGGCUGCUAAUACCGCAUGAUACACUGAGGAGGCAUCUCUUUGGUGUCAAAGGAGCAAUCCGCCUUUAGAUGAGCUCGCGUCUGAUUAGCUAGUUGGCGGGGUAACGGCCCACCAAGGCGACGAUCAGUAGCCGGACUGAGAGGUUGAACGGCCACAUUGGGACUGAGACACGGCCCAGACUCCUACGGGAGGCAGCAGUGGGGAAUAUUGCGCAAUGGGGGCAACCCUGACGCAGCAACGCCGCGUGAUUGAAGAAGGCCUUCGGGUUGUAAAGAUCUUUAAUCAGGGACGAAGAAUGACGGUACCUGAAGAAUAAGCUCCGGCUAACUACGUGCC
rnacentral:rRNA from 1 species